rnacentral:tRNA from 1 species
AAGGACCUAGUCUAAUUGGUAAAACAUCAUCAUUACAUGAUGAAGUUGGAGGUUCGAAUCCUUCGGUCCUUA